GUUCUGCGGUUUCUGAGCUCCGGUGUGGCCUGUGCGGAAGGGAGCAGGGAGGUGUGUGGGGAGUGGCUCUUACUCUCCAGCAGCUGCAGGAAGCUGGGCUGCCCCUUGCUGUCCUCGCAGGCCCCCGGGGCCCCUGCCGAUUGAGGGUGACCCUUCCUCCAGCAGCACUGGUUGGUUUACCAGCUGCACCAGGAUCUCUGACUCUGCCUGGCGUGAGCUGUGGAGCACAGCGAAGGCUUUUCAGAAACCUCCCACACACAUGGUCUCCUGACUCCACGCUGAACUGGAGAUCUGAUGCCCGUUUGCUGGACGUGCCCACAGGGCGGUCACCACGGCGGGCGGUCAUCGUUGAUUAAGAUAAUUUUUUUAAUGUGUCAUUGCAUGAAUCUCCAUCUCCAUCUCUGGAAAUUGAGUAAAUUCAUAGAAGAAAAGUUGAUUACUGUUUAGAUACUUGUUUUGUCAUUUUGAAUGGGAAAUAUUGAAAACUAAAAUUAAACGUACAUAAAUGCUA